rnacentral:rRNA from 1 species
GCGAUGGUUGUCGUCAGCUCGUGUCGUGAGAUGUUGGUUAAGUCCCGCAACGAGCGCAACCCCUAUUGUUAGUUGCCAUCAUUCAGUUGGGGCACUCUAGCGAGACUGCCGGUAAUAAACCGGAGGAAGGUGGGGAUGACGUCAAAUCAUCAUGCCCCUUAUGACCUGGGCUACACACGUGCUACAAUGGUUGGUACAACGAGUUGCGAGUCGGUGACGGCGAGCUAAUCUCUUAAAGCCAAUCUCAGUUCGGAUUGUAGGCUGCAACUCGCCUACAUGAAGUCGGAAUCGCUAGUAAUCGCAGGUCAGCAUACUGCGGUGAAUACGUUCCCGGGCCUU